CAAAAACAUAGCUAUGUGCUAUCACUCAUAGUAUUUUCUGCUCAAUGAGGUUUAAAUAGCCGCAGUACCCUGACUGUGCAAAGGUAGCGUAAUCAGUUGGCUUCUAAUUAAAGUCUUGUAUCAAGGRACAUAUGGGGGUCUACUUUACCCGGGAUAUACUAUGAACUUACUAAGGGAGUGCAAAUACUCCUAUAACUUAAUAGACGAGAAGACCCUAGAAAUUUUUACAGACGUUUUUGUUGGGGCAACAUAGUAACAAAAAACUUACUCUAUCUACAAGRAAAGGACUUAGGAAGCGGAAAUUACUUUAGGGAUAACAGCAUAAUGUACGAUCGUUUGUGACCUCGAUGUUGGAUUAGGAAGUUAUAACCUAGAAGGUGUUUAAUUAUGCUCUGUUCGAGCA
rnacentral:rRNA from 1 species